CAAUAGCGUAUAUUUAAGUUGUUGCAGUUAAAAAGCUCGUAGUUGGAUUUCGGGUAGGAUUUGCCGGUCCGUCUUUGAGAUGUGUACUGGUAAGUCCUAUCUUCUUGUCGGGGACCAGCUCCUGGGCUUCACUGUCCGGGACUGGGAGCCGACGAAGUUACUUUGAGUAAAUUAGAGUGUCCAAAGCAAGCCUACGCUCUGAAUAUAUUAGCAUGGAAUAACACGAUAGGACUCUGGCUUAUCUUGUUGGUCUGUGAGACCAGAGUAAUGAUUAAGAGGGACAGUCGGGGACAUUCGUAUUUCAUUGUCAGAGGUGAAAUUCUUAGAUUUAUGAAAGACGAACUUCUGCGAAAGCAUUUGUCAAGGAUGUUUUCAUUAA
rnacentral:rRNA from 1 species